GACGGGAGCUCAACCCCUUGAUGAGCGACUUUCCUCCUGAGUGGAGUAGUGACGGAGGUGGAGGGGUAAACGGACAUGCAAGACGCUCCGGAUGAUCCAGGUAUGUAAUUAGUAUAUUCUCUUGUUUGAAAAGAGUAAACCAAAUGCAUUCAAGUUGUGUUUAAACAUUUAUUUACACAAACAAUUGUGACAUUUUCUAUUGUUUUUAGUCGCUGAGUGUUCCAGCAGGGGUCGGUGCUGCUGCAGUGGAGCAGGAGCUGAGUUUUCCAGCAGGAGCUGAGUGUUCCAGCAGGGGUCAGUGGUGCUGCAGCUGAGCAGGAGCUGAGUGUUCCAGCAGGGGUCGGUGGUGCUGCAGCUGAGCAGGAGCUGAGUGUUCCAGCAGGGGUCGGUGGUGCUGCAGUGGAGCAGGAGCUGAGUGUUCCAGCAGGGGUCGGUGGUGCUGCAGUGGCGCAGGGGCUGAGUGUUCCAGCAGGGGUCGGUGGUGCUGCAGCGGAGCAGGAGCUGAGUGUUCCAGCAGGGGUCGGUGGUGCUGCAGCUGAGCAGGAGCUGAGUGUUCCAGCAGGGGUCGGUGGUGCUGCAGUGGAGCAGGAGCUGAGUGUUCCAGCAGGAGCAAGAGCUGAGUGUUCCAGCAGGGGUCGGUGGUGCUGCAGCUGAGCAGGAGCUGAGUGUUCCAGCAGGGGUUGGUGGUGCUGCAGUGGAGCAAGAGCUGAGUGUUCCAGCAGGGGUCGGUGGUGCUGCAGUGGAGCAGGAGCUGAGUGUUCCAGCAGGAGCUGAGUGUUCCAGCAGGGGUUGGUGGUGCUGAAGUGGAGCAGGAGCUGAGUGUUCCAGCAUGAGCUGAGUGUUCCAGCAGGGGUCGGUGGUGUUGCAGUGGAGCAGGAGCUGAGUGUUCCAGCAGGGGUCGGUGGUGCUGCAGCUGGAGCAGGAGCUGAGUGUUCCAGCAGGGGUUGGUGGUGCUGCAGUGGAGCAGGAGCUGAGUGUUCCAGCAGGGGU
ensembl:lncRNA